rnacentral:rRNA from 1 species
UGCCAGACUCCUACGGGAGGCAGCAGUGGGGAAUAUUGGGCAAUGGAGGCAACUCUGACCCAGCAACGCCGCGUGAAUGAUGAAGGUCUUCGGAUUGUAAAGUUCUUUUCUAAGGGAAGAAGAAAGUGACGGUACCUUAGGAAUAAGCCUCGGCUAACUACGUGCCAGCAGCCGCGGUCAUACGUAGGAUCCGAGCAUUAUCCGGAGUGACUGGGUGUAAAGAGUUGCGUAGGUGGCAUAAUAAGUAGCUAGUGAAAUCUGGUGGCUCAACCAUUCAGACUAUUAGCUAAACUGUUAAGCUCGAGACCGUUAGGGGUAACUGGAAUUUCUAGUGUAGGAGUGAAAUCCGUAGAUAUUAGAAAGAACACCGAUAGCGUAGGCAGGUUACUGGGACGGUUCUGACACUAAGGCACGAAAGCGUAGGGAGCAAACGGGAUUAGAUACCCGCGUAUA